AAGGAAGGGCCUUCCUGGGAAGGAAAAUCUGGAAUAAUCCACACUUCCCUGUGUGGUACAGGAGCUGCCAGGAGGAGGCAAGAUUUCAGAUGGGCACUUGCUGCUUCCCAGGGUUUGGGAAGAUUUCAAAGCCACUGGAAAAUGUUGGUUCAACUCCACUUCGGCCUAAAAUCCAUGUUGUCCAACAAACACCCCGGCUUUGGGGACAUUCCAUGGAUGUGGUGAAGGGGUGGAAGCCACCAAGGAGCCACCAAGUGCUGGGACCCUCGGGAAUCACAGCCCAAAUAUUUGGGAUUCUUCCUCCCCCACUCCCAGGCUUCCCCCAGGACAUCCUUCCCCGUGGAUUUACCUGGAAGGCUGCAGUGCCUGGAGAGCUGCCUGGAGAGCACAACAGGACCUGGAAACAAAGGAGAAGGUUUGGUCUGGAGCCAUGCUCCGAGAUCAUGGAAUUCUGGUGAUCUCCCUCCACACCUCCACACCCACGUGUGGGUCUGGAUCCUGCUCCAAAGCCAUGGAAUUCUGGUGAUCUCCCUCCACACCUCCACACCCACGUGUGGGUCUGGAUCCUGCUCCAAAGCCAUGGAAUUCUGCUCUUCCACAUCCACACCCCCACCAGAGAGGGAUGCAAGGAAAACGAGCGCUGUGGUUGUGUCCCAUGAAAAACCAUUCCCUGGGAUUUUCCCCUUGGAUGUGCUAUGAGCCCAGCCAGGUUUUAUUUUCCAAACUAUUUGGGCUCCUCCCAACAUUUCCUGCCUUUUGGAAGUUGGGAAACCCCUCAAUCCAUGGGAAAGUUCUCCAGCUCAACCCCAUCCCAAUUUCAGCAAGAGUUGCCCCUGCACCAGCAGAAACUGGGAAUGGUUGGAAAGGGAAUUUUGAUCCCAGAUGUCCUGUAGGAACAGGGCCAAAGCAGUGUCCUGGUGCAUCCCCUUCCCUUGGAUUUGGGAUCAGAUCAAGCCUGGGCAUCAGAGCAGCCCAAGGUUUUUCCACCGGAGAAGAGAAGGAGCCACCCUCGUGCUCCUUGGAAGGCUGAGGAAUAUUCCCUGCUCUCCAUCCCGGAAAUCCUCAGCUGAGAAAUGGGAUCAACAACCUGUUUUCCACUCUCAGGGAAGGGGGGGAAGUCUGGAGUCAUUCCCAAAUGCUUUAUUAAUUCCAUGGCUUUUGCUGGAAGCAAAGGGGGCUGGAAUGAGGCAACUCUGCCUGGCUGGAGCUGGUUGCUAUUGGAGUUUUUCCUGGAAAUCCAUUAACACAACGUGGGGAGGGAGGUGAAAAUUACCCUUAAUACCGAACUGUUGUUGGAAAGGGGGAAAUUGGGAUAUUCCAUGUAGGAGAUGAAGGAAAAAACACAUUUUUUAUCAAAAAAAAGGGAUUUUCUGCACUAUUUCCAGCCCUUUCUGAGAAAUUUGCACCUGGUUCCAAUUAACCCUAAAGCUUCAUUAAUGAUCAGUUUGGCACCAGUCAUAAUUAAUCACAAAUGUGCAUUUUUCCAUGGAAUAAAAGGUUUACCUGAGCACAUUUGCAAUUCCAUUUA